GCCUAACACAUGCAAGUCGAACGGAGUAGCAAUACUUAAUAGGCAAACGGGUGCGUAACGCGUAAGCAACCUGCCUCAAACAGGGGGAUAGCCUGGCGAAAGCCGGGGUAAACCCGCAUGGUCCCAGAGCCUCACCUGAUGGUCUGGGUAAACAGUGAUGGGUUUGAGAGGGGCUUGCGUCUGAUUAGCUAGUUGGCAGGGUAACGGCCUACCAAGGCGGUGAUCAGUAGGGGUUCUGAGAGGAUUGGCCCCCACAUGGGUACUGAGAGACGGACCCAACUCCUACGGGAGGCAGCAGUAGGGAAUAUUGGGCAAUGGGCGCAAGCCUGACCCAGCCAUGCCGCGUGCCGGACGAAGGCGCUCAGCGUUGUAAACGGCUUUUACUCAUGAAGAACGUUGUUCCUGCGGGGGCAAGUGACGGUAAUGAGGGAAUCAGCACCGGCUAACUCCGUGCCAGCAGCCGCGGUAAU
rnacentral:rRNA from 1 species